rnacentral:rRNA from 1 species
UACGAAGGGGGGCUAGCGUUGUUCGGAAUCACUGGGCGUAAAGGGCGCGUAGGCGGCGCGACAAGUCAGGCGUGAAAGCCCCGGGCUCAACCCGGGAAUUGCGCUUGAUACUGUCGUGCUUGAGGCCGGGAGAGGAUGGCGGAAUUCCCAGUGUAGAGGUGAAAUUCGUAGAUAUUCGCAAGAACACCAGUGGCGAAGGCGGCUUACUGGUCCGGUUCUGACGCUGAGGCGCGAAAGCGUGGGGAGCAAACAGG